GAUGAACGCUAGCUACAGGCUUAACACAUGCAAGUCGAGGGGAAACGACAUCGAAAGCUUGCUUUUGAUGGGCGUCGACCGGCGCACGGGUGAGUAACGCGUAUCCAACCUGCCCAUCACUUGGGAAUAACCUUGCGAAAGUAAGACUAAUACCCAAUGACAUCCCACGAAGACAUCUGAAUGGGAUUAAAGAUUUAUCGGUGAUGGAUGGGGAUGCGUCUGAUUAGCUUGUUGGCGGGGUAACGGCCCACCAAGGCAACGAUCAGUAGGGGUUCUGAGAGGAAGGUCCCCUACAUUGGAACUGCGACACGGUCCAAACUCCUACGGGAGGCAGCAGUGAGUAAUAUUGGUCAAUGGGCGAGAGCCUGAACCAGCCAAGUAGCGUGCAGGAUGACGGCCCUAUGGGUUGUAAACUGCUUUUAUAAGGGAAUAAAGUGGGUCUCGUGAGACUUUUUGCAUGUACCUUAUGAAUAAGGACCGGCUAAUUCCGUG
rnacentral:rRNA from 1 species